rnacentral:rRNA from 1 species
CCUACGGGGGGCAGCAGUGAGGAAUAUUGGUCAAUGGGCGAGAGCCUGAACCAGCCAAGUCGCGUGAGGGAGUACUGCCCUAUGGGUUGUAAACCUCUUUUGUCGGGGAGCAAAAGCCGGACGUGUCCGGCUGUGAGAGUACCCGAAGAAAAAGCAUCGGCUAACUCCGUGCCAGCAGCCGCGGUAAUACGGAGGAUGCGAGCGUUAUCCGGAUUUAUUGGGUUUAAAGGGUGCGCAGGCGGAUUUUUAAGUCAGCGGUAAAAUCGUGGGGCUCAACCCCAUCCAGCCGUUGAAACUGGGGAUCUAGAGUGUGCGAGAGGUAUGCGGAAUGCGUGGUGUAGCGGUGAAAUGCAUAGAUAUCACGCAGAACCACGAUUGCGAAGGCAGCAUACCGGUGCACAACUGACGCUCAGGCACGAAAGCGUGGGUAUCGAACAGGAUUAGAUACCCUGGUAGUC